rnacentral:rRNA from 1 species
UACGUAGGGUGCGAGCGUUGUCCGGAAUUACUGGGCGUAAAGAGCUCGUAGGUGGUUUGUCGCGUCGUCUGUGAAAUCCCGGGGCUUAACUUCGGGCGUGCAGGCGAUACGGGCAUAACUAGAGUGCUGUAGGGGAGACUGGAAUUCCUGGUGUAGCGGUGAAAUGCGCAGAUAUCAGGAGGAACACCGAUGGCGAAGGCAGGUCUCUGGGCAGUUACUGACGCUGAGGAGCGAAAGCAUGGGGUAGCGAACAGGAUUAGAUACCCUGGUAGUCCAUGCCGUAAACGGUGGGCGCUAGGUGUGGGGGUUUUAUUUACGAUUCCCGUGCCGUAGCUAACGCAUUAAGCGCCCCCGCCUGGGGAGUACGGCCGCAAGGCUAAA